UUCACCACAUCACGCUUGGCUUUACGGGGCCAAGUCAAAAAGUUCAGUCGUUGGUUAGGGGUUCAAUGAAACGUGCGCCCAAAUUUAGUUUUUUGGUUUUAUCGCGAAUGUUUUAUGACGAACAUCGGGAAUUGUAAAUAAGCAGAUCAGUUUUUGUUUCCAGGGUUUUUUAAGUGGGUUCAGGUUGGAUUAAUUGAGCGAGAGGCAAAGUGGUGAUCGGAAUGCGUCCAGUAAUUACCGACCAAAUGAAUAUAGAGUCAUUUCGAAAUCCAUUUUGGCCGUAAUUUCCAUGGAACUCGCGCUUGCAUGCCGAACACGUCUCGGUGCAUGUAAAAAGGGAUGCCAACAUAAACACCUGAAAUACCCCAAUAUCGUUAACAAAUGGCCGUACACGUUUAAAGGUGGGUAUAAUAGCGACGAGUCAACAAUUAUGCUGUGACGUAAGCCAUUAAUUAUAACCUAACCUGUGGUUAGGACUUAACAAGCUGUCACUAGUAGAUUGUUAGCGCGUUAUUUAUGAGAAUUUAAACGCGAACGAUGUGGAGUGCAGGCCGAGAGAGAACGGGAAACGCAAAGGUAGGGCAGCCACUAAAUUGAUAUACCAUUCGUUAUCGAUAUUGUAACGCACAGUGGCGGACUAUCGGAUAGGAGUAGGAUGAACUGAAAGGGGAUCAGAACUGCCAUCGACCCAGCAUCUGCCCUUUUUACUCUCGAAACGAUCAAUUUUUGUCACUGAAUCAAACUUUUGCCUGAAGUUGCCCAAUAAGUCCAAAACUAACUGCAACUCAUGACUGCAUACUUUCCCAAUUAAGUAGCGGAUUAGGGAUAAUUGAUGACUUUGUAAAUAUAGAAAUAAAAUUAAAAUUCAUCGACAGUAA